rnacentral:lncRNA from 1 species
GGCUGCACCAGUGACGAGUUAUCUGUCCUUCUCAUCACUGGAUCUUCCUUAGUCUCUCAACUUGCAAGGGUCUCAGUCACCAGCUCACCAGAUCCUAGAACUAACCCAGACUCCCUGAUGAGAUGUGGGCCCAGAGCAAGUGACUAACAUGCUUCAGGCCUUUUAUCUUCAGUGAAAUGAGGCGGCUGGGCUAGAUGACCUUGGAGGGCUAAUGGCCUGUGUGUCUGUGGUCACCAAUCUACCCCCAGGGGCCUGGGGACCCUGUGGUUUGGGGAGUACCAAUACCAGGUGGUGGUGACAACCUGAGCUGUCCUUCUUGGGGCUCAGGAUGAGUUGAGGUCAUCGUCAGUGUCAACCAACACGACAUGGCUGGGUGGGGGCAACCUGGGGACCAGACCAGGAAGAGGAUCAGGAAGUUUCUUAGGAUCAUGGGUAGGAAAGCCUGGGGAUGGUGCUUUACCAGGCUUCAAAAUCCCUGUUCUUCCUGAGCCAUGGGAGGUCCACCCCUGCUGAUAGAGGGAAUGACAAGAAAGUCAAGGGAGACUCCCUCCUGCCCUCAGCACUGCCCCUCACCUUCUCUUGUCUUCUCUUUCCUCUCAUAUUUCCUCUCCCUAGGGCCAAUGUGUGACCAUUGCUGCCUACUCCUCCUGCAGUCUCUUUGCCAAAGAGUGUCCGUUCCCUGGCAGGCUCAAUGUGACCAUUCUCCUGUUCACCCUCAGUCUCAUCAGCCUUUCCCUUAACUUCUACCACCAGACAUACCUGAGAGGCAAGUGGGAGAAGCUGACCUACAAGGUGGGGCCAAGGACUGAAACUAGCAGAGCCCUCCCCAUGGAGAGUUUGGUGAAAGAUGAUACGGCCCACAGCCCACCCGUGCUGAGCAGAUUCCUCUGGGCAAGUAUUUCAUCCUAUGAGGAAAGGACAAUAACAAUUCUCGCCGCCUUCCCAGAGUUCAGGAGGACAGAACUGGACCCAGCUUCCUGAACGCACAUCUCAUGUGGAUUCGUCACUAUUUGCACACCUCCUUCCUCUACUAAACGUGAGUCCUUCUGAGGAGGGACUGAACUCUCAGUGGUCCCCACCCCUGGCACAGUAUCUCAAUAAAUGUGCAUUUAGACCCCUAUAUUCCCCCAUGGGCAGUCAGGGCUGGGAGCAGGGUUGGGAGCAUGGAGGAAGGCAAGGCUGGUUUGAUCUUCCCCUUGCAGGCAGAGAGGAUGGCUGAGAAUAUCUAAUCUAAGGAGUGUGGGUCUGUGUGAUUUCUCUUGGGGCUAUGCCAACAGUUCCCCUGCACAUCUUUCUGUCUGUUCACUAUUACCUAAGGUGCAUUUACACAGUUGUAUGAUUCUGUGUGUAUGGGGCAGCAGAAAGGGCUACUCAUACAUGUCCAAAUACUUUGCUUUUGAAUACACGUGUGUUUCCAUUCAUGAUUUUCUCUGUUGGUGUUUUUUGUUUGUCUCUUCUGUAAAUCUUGGAAAGUGCCAUGCUAGCCAAAUAAAAGCUUCUGGGAUCAUUAACACUUCUGUCCUGAUGGGAAACAUGGAUUCCGUGAGAAAUCUCUGCAUACAUGGUCCACCGAGAGCUUCCAAAGAGGGAUGUGAGAAAAGGAGGGAUGGGGUGUAAUGAAUGCCGCCAUCCGCUUGCCAGAGGGGGAACUAGGGCCAGCCAAAGGGAGCCAACCACAGAGUUGGCAGAAGCAAACAUCUGCUGGGCUGGUUAAGACCAGAACUGGAUGGGUGUCCGGAAUGCAGAUUUCCAGGGAGCUGCCUCUAUGCCUUUGAGCUGCUGCUCCUUCUCCUUUAUAAUCUCUCCCGUUAGCUCUUUCCCUCCAGUAGAGAAGUUCAUAUUUGGUGAUGCCUCCACUGCCAAGAACCUUAAAGACCUGACAAAGGUUUCAUAAGGUUAUUUGGGGACUGUUUAUCCAUCAGGUGCUCUGGUUAAUGAACUCAAGGCCAGGCGGGGCUGCAUCCUGUGGACAGAAUACUCAGAGAAAAUUUCCUCCCAGCUACGCAGGAUGCAAACACAUCCCACACACUCUUCCACAGCAGGUUGAGUGCCUUUGCAGGUGGGGGCCUAUUUUAAGGCAAUCUUUAAACACACACACACACACUCAGAAGUGAGGUCUGUUCACUUGCUUAGCAUCCAGAAUAAGAGACGGCUUAGUCAUCCCAGGGUUCAGAGCUGACACGUGUCCAGUCCUUUGUGGCUGCCUCUCCCUGAUUUAAGUAGCACAAGAGGAAGCAAAAUGUCCUGGGUCACGUCUCAAUGAAACAAGAUUUGGGUGGCAGGGAGAGCCUGGGGGAAGGCAAUGUGGUGGGGAGGGUUUGGGGGGAAAUUCUCAGUGCACUGAAGCUGUCCAUCAUUUUUUUUUUUUUUUUAAGUUGCACUUUGUUAUAACAAUGUGACCUGGUUCAGGGGUGCUGUGCAGGGGGCUCUUUCGUGUGGAAAGAGUGUGUGAAAUUAUAAAACAUAAAGUUAUUUGAAUUUGUCAACACACAGCCACAUUCUUAAUUAAGAUGGUAGAAGUUUGGGAGUUCCCGUUGUGGCGCAGUGGAAAGGAAUCUGGCUAGGAACCAUGAGGUUGCGAGUUCAAUCUCUGGCCUCGAUCAUGUCUGAUCUAGAAACUGUGAAGAAAAUGCUUUCUGUAGCUGAAAAGAGACUGGCCCUGAAUCACCCUAGUGAUGGAGCUGGGCUAGGUCUUGGCUUCCUGACUCCCCGACUGGGGCUCUGCCUCCCCCAGGACUGGGUCAAGGUGAAAGGCAUUUAUUCCCAUAAACAGGGCCAUUUAAGUAUGCAGGUCCUGGAGCUACUCCUAGUGGGAAAGUUGGUAUCGGGUAUCUAUAUCUCCCCCUCCACCCUCAGCCCGCAUCUUCUUCCUCACCCCUCUGCCAGACACACUGCCUCCCCAGUGAUUGAAUUCACCUUUUAGCUCACCAGGUGCCAAACCUCACAUGGGAUCAAGAUGAAAAGAGAGGAAGAAGGAAGAGACGCAGAGGGAAAACAACGUUAAAAGUAGCUUACUUUUUCAAGGAAGAAGGAAAAGGAGUUCCCGCUAUAGCUUAGCAGGUUAAGAACCCGACUGGUAUCCAUGAGAAUGCAGGAUCCAUCCCUGGCCUCCCUCAGCGGGUGAAGGAUCCAGGGUUGCUCUGAGCUGUGGUAUAGGUUGCAGAUGCGGCUCGGAUGCAGUGUUGCUGUGGCUGUGGCAUUGGCCAGCACCUGCAGCUCUGAUUUGACCCCUAGCCUGGGAACUUCCAUAUGCUCCAGCCCUAAAAACACAAAAACAAAAAAAACCCCAAAAAAACACUGGGCCCAAACACCAGAUUGAUUAAUAACUGAAAGCUUCCCUAAUCUUUGUCCCUGCUUCCAAUGUAGGACCAAUCACAGAAAGCUAAGUGUGCAUUCUAACCACAUAGGAUUUCCGCUUGCAUUAGCGUGUUCUCUAGGCCAAGAGCCCCCGACCAGGGCACACCUGAAGCUUUCUCUUUUACCACUCUCAUGCUUUCCCACCUCUGUCUGCCUUCGAAUCUCUGCCAAGACACAAACGAUGGUGGCUAAUAGCCUGCUAUAGCCAGCUCUGAAUACAUAGCCUUUGCUUGUUCCCAUUUGGUUGGGCUUUGUUUAUUUCCACGUGGAGAAGUGUGCUGGGCUUGCACAGGCAGCAGCCUUAAGGUCAGAGGGUGGUAUGGCCCGCCUACACCAGGGAGGGCCUGAGACAGCGCCCCUAGCUCCCCGUGGCUUUACACUAGCCCAGGAGUUAGGGUUGCUAGAUAAGACGCAGGAUUCCCACUAUGCUUGAAUUUCCCCUCCAAAAAAGCCAAGAAAAAUUUUAGCAUAAAUAUGUCCCAAGCAGUAUUUGGGGCAUACCUAUGCUAAAAAAGUAUUCCUUGUUUAUCUGAAAUUCAAAUAUAACUGGUGUCCUAUAUUUUUAUUUGCUAAAUCUGGUCAUCGUACAGGAGGGUAACUAAAACUUCCCAUGCCCCACUCCCAGAAGGGGAAACAAAAAGUUAAGAAAGAGAAGAGCACCUUGGUGGGGCUACAGAGAGUUUUAGAGCUAACAGGAGGGGGACACAUCAGAGAUGACACGGGAAACCUCCCAAGAUUUUGAAUGGGGCUUCGGCAGCAUCUCAAGGGAUUUCUGGGGUGGAGCAGCGAGGCCAAGAACGAGAACAGAAAUGAUUAUUCUGGUGCUGGAAUAUGAGAUGAAGACAUAUCUAGGUCUAGGGAGUUCCCAUUGUGGCACAGUGGAAACGAAUCUGACUCGUAUCUGUGCGGACGUGGGUUCGAUCCCCGGCCUCGCUCAGUGGGGUAAAUAUCCAGUGUUGCCGUGUGAGCUGUGAUGUAGGUUGCAGACGAGGCUUGGAUCCUGCGUGGCUGUGGCUGUGGCUGUGGCAUGGGCUGCGAUUUGACCCCUAGCCUGGGAACUUCUAUGUGUCACGUGUGUGUCUGUAAGCACUGCUCCCCCCAUGCCCUCCCCACCCCCCUACUGUGAGCUUAACAUCCAGCUGCAGAAAGAAAGAAACAGGAUGGGAGAAAUAGCCUGACUUUGAUGGAGGUAUCAACCUGAAACAUCAUUUUAGGACUUCUUGGGGAGUGUGUCGACAUUGCCAGAUUUAACGGGUUUUCCUGGAAGUGACGAGAUGAAUUUUCUGCUGUUAGAAUGAAGCCUCAAUAUUAAAAAUAUUCUGAAUCUGGUUAUAGAAAACUGUAAGGAAUUAACAUUUUGCACAUGUGAAUUCAUUGUCUGUGAGGCUUUGAAAAAUUCAUACUCACUGUAUAUAUGGGCUUCAUGUCUAUUGAAGCACCAAUUGGAGAUACAGGGCACUUUUGGAAAAUGAAACCUCCCCGUCUCCAUCCUCCAGCCCUCGCUCGCCAAUCUGGCAAUUUCCCCAGGGAGUCGUUUUCUCCGGAGAGAAAUGUUGCAUCUCACUUUAUUUGGUCUGUAUUUGGAAAACAGUUUUAUUUUCAUCUUCCAUACACCAGAUAACAUUAUUGCAUUGCAUAUAUUUUUCCACCUUCAUGCUCAUCUCCUAUCCCUUAAUGUUGACACCCUUCC